rnacentral:rRNA from 1 species
GACGUAGGGCGCGAGCGUUGUCCGGAUUUAUUGGGCGUAAAGAGCUCGUAGGCGGCUUGUCGCGUCGUCCGUGAAAACCCGGGGCUCAACCCCGGGCUUGCGGUCGAUACGGGCAGGCUGGAGUUCGGUAGGGGAGACGUGGAAUUCCUGGUGUAGCGGUGAAAUGCGUACGAUAUCGAGCAGGGAACGGAAGCCAGCCUGGACGUGGAAGGCGGGAAUCGGUCCAGU